GUUAACUUACUUUCUUUUUUGUUAUUUCCAUGCUUCAGUUGGUACCAGUGUUGGAGACAUUGUAUUGUGGGAAGCUGGUUCAUGCGAGAGGCUGCAUCUGGGACAAAAGGUGGUUCAAGUGGUUCUCCAGUAGUGGAUUGGCAAGGAAGAGUAGUGGCCUUAAAUCCAGGGAGCAAAUCAUCAAGUGCUUCAUCAUUUUUCCUUCCAUUAGAGAGAGUUGUGAGGGCGUUAAGGUUUAUUCAAAAGAGUAAAGACUCAUCUGGAAGUGGAUGGGAGGCUGUAACUAUUCCUCGUGGUACA